rnacentral:rRNA from 1 species
AUUGAACGCUGGCGGCAGGCUUAACACAUGCAAGUCGAGCGAGCGGCGGACGGGUGAGUAAUGUCUGGGAAACUGCCUGAUGGAGGGGGAUAACUACUGGAAACGGUAGCUACUACCGCAUACCAUCAGAUGUGCCCAGAUGGGAUUAGCUAGUAGGUGGGGUAAUGGCUCACAUAGGCGUCGAUCCCUAGCUGGUCUGAUAGGCUGAACAGCCACACGGGAACUGAGACACGAUCCAGACUCCUACGUGAGGCAGCAGUGGGGAAUAUUGCACAAUGGGCGCAAGCCUGAUGCAGCCACGCCGCGUGUGUUAAGAAGUCCUUCGGGUUGGAAAGCACGUUCAUCGAGGAGUCGUUACUCGCAGAAGAAGCACCGGCUAACUCCGUGCCAGCAGCCGCGGUAAUUC